GCUUGUCUCAAAGAUUAAGCCAUGCAUGUCUAAGUAUAAGUAUUAUACAGCGAAACUGCGAAUGGCUCAUUAAAACAGUUAUAGUUUACAUGAUAAUCGAAUUUACAUGGAUAACCGUGGUAAUUCUAGAGCUAAUACAUGCUGGCGUGCCCGACUUUUGUGGAAGGGCGGUAUUUAUUAGAUAACAAACCAAUAUUCCUCGUGUCUAUUGUGAUGACUCAUAAUAACUGAUCGAAUCGCAUGGGCUUUGCCCGCGAUACAUCAUUCAAGUUUCUGCCCCAUCAGCUUUCGAUGGUAGUGUAUUGGACUACCAUGGCUUUAACGGGUAACGGAGGAUUAGGGUUCGAUUCCGGAGAGGGAGCCUGAGAAACGGCUACCACAUCUAAGGAAGGCAGCAGG
rnacentral:rRNA from 1 species